GAGAACGCGGUUAAAGACAGAUGGAGAGGUUAUUUUCAUAAUCUUUUCAAUGAAGGACAUGAAAUGAGUGUUUCUUUAGAGGAGUUGAGUAACUCAGAAGAGUGUAGAAACUACUCUUUUUAUCGUCGAAUCCGGAAGGAAGAAGUGGUUGUAGCUUUGAAGAAGAUGAAGCAUAGAAAAGUAGUAGGCCCAGACGAUAUACCAAUCGAAGUGUGGAAAGUUUUGGGAGAGACAGGUAUAACAUGGCUCACUGACCUUUUCAAUAGGAUUUUGAAAACGAAGAAGAUGCCAAAUGAGUGGUGAACGAGCACUUUGGUGCCUAUCUACAAGAAUAAGGGCGACGUACAAAAUUGCAUGAACUAUAGGGGUAUUAAGCUAAUGAGUCAUACAAUGAAGCUUUGGGAGAGAGUCAUUGAGCAUAGAUUGAGGCAAGAGACACGAGUUUCGGACAACCAAUUCGGGUUCAUGCCAGGGCGCUCAACCAUGGAGGCAAUCUAUCUCUUACGAAGAUUGAUGGAAAGAUAUAGAGAUAGGAAAAAGGAUUUACACAUGGUCUUUAUAGAUUUGGAGAAAGCGUAUGAUAGGGUCCCAAGAGACAUUCUUUGGAGGAUUUUAGAGAAGAAAGGAGUACGAGUAGCAUAUAUCCAAGCUAUAAAGGAUAUGUAUGAAGGAGCAAAGACUGCCGUAAGAACUCAUGAAGGACAAACUGAAAGCUUUCCCAUAACUGUAGGAUUACAUCAAGGCUCAUCCUUAAGUCCUUACCUUUUUGCGUUGGUAAUGGAUGAGUUAACAGGACAUAUGCAAGAUGAUAUUCCUUGGUGUAUGCUUUUCGCAGACGAUAUAGUGUUGAUAGAUGAAACUCAGGAAGGGGUAAAUGCAAAGCUUAACCUUUGGAGAGAAGUGUUGGAAUCUAAAGGUCUUCGCUUAAGCCGAUCAAAGACAGAAUAUAUGGAGUGCAAGUUCAGUGCAAAUGGAGGCCAAAACGAGUUAGGGGUGAUAAUCGGAGAUCAAGAAAUACCAAAGAGCGACCGUUUUCGUUACCUAGGAUCUAUCUUGCAAAAGAACGGAGAAUUAGAUGGAGAUCUCAACCAUAGAAUACAAGCUGGAUGGAUGAAGUGGAAGAGUGCAUCCGGCGUGUUGUGUGACCGCCGUAUGCCACUGAAGCUCAAGGGAAAAUUUUAUAGGACGGCAAUAAGGUCGGCGAUGCUGUAUGGCAUAGAAUGUUGGGCGGUGAAGCAUCAACACGUACACAAAAUGGGUGUAGCGGAGAUGAGGAUGUUUCGUUGGAUGUGUGGGCACACGAGAAAGGAUAAGAUUAGGAAUGAGGAUAUCCGGGGUAAAGUAGGAGUAGCCGCAAUUGAAGGAAAGAUGAGAGAAAAUCGGUUACGGUGGUUUGGACAUGUGCAAAGAAGGCCUACUGACGCUCCGAUUAGAAGAUGCGACUAUGGGACAGAGGUUCAGGGCCGAAGGGUAGAGGAAGACCUAGGAAAACUUUGGAAGAGACUCUAAGAAAAGACUUAGAGUACUUGGAUCUAACGAAGGAUAUGACACAGGACCGAGCACAAUGGCGUUCUAAGAUUCAUAUAGCCGAUCCCACUCAGUGACUUGGAUUUUCCAAGUCUCAAACCGAGAAGUUUUCCUCACUCAGGAAAUUAAGGGAACACUACCUCAACCUACAUGCUCCACUCACAAAGCUUCAACAAAAGAAAAUUCAAAGAACUUAGCGAAGAAGGCUUUGGUGUAAUUAACACAAUACGUUGAAAUGAAGGAAAGCUUAUUUAUUGAUAUCCCUGAUAAGCUACAAAUAUGUACAUACACAUAAGUCAAAAUAAACAAACAAGAGGGAGCCUUCACAAAGGUUGCUUGGGAGAAGUCUCAGCAGUCGGUAGAGCCCCAGAAAGAGAAGGCACCGGACGGGGAUCAUUCGGAGCCUCAGUACUGGACAGAACCCUAGAAGGAGGAGGCAUCAGAGGUUGAUCAUUUGGAGCUUCAUUACGCGGUACAGCCCCAGAAGACGAAGGCAAUAAAUGCCUUUGGAAUAAACCCACAAAUCUCUGAUGAUCAAGUAAAACCUGACCAUCAGAUUCCUUCAUCUGGUCAAGCUUCCUCUUCAUGUUUGUAGCAUAGUCAUGUGCGAGCCGGUGCAACUGUUUAUUCUCAUGCUUGAGCCCUCUAAUCUCCUGUUUGAGAUUCAUCACUUCAGCCGCCAAUGAUUUAACUUGGCGGGUUCGAGCAAAUAGGCGUUGGGCCAUAUUAGACACAGAACCUGCACACUGAACACUGAGAGCCAGAGAAUCCUUAACAGCUAACUCAUCAGACCGUUUGGAAAGUAGUCUGUUAUCUUUGGGAGUGAGAAGGUUCCUGGCCACCACCGCAGCGGUCAUAUCAUUCUUCAUCACGGAAUCCCCAACGGUAAGAGGACCAGUAGGGGAGACGAAGGAUGGGCGCCAUAUGUUGUCUGGAGAAGGCAGAGCUGCCUCUUCAACAAGGUUCAAGUCAAAACGACGGUCGGAGGGGCCAGACAUUUUUCAAAGGUGUUGAAGAGAGAAGAGGUCGGACAAAUCAAGAUCUUAGAAGUGCAAGAAUGAAGCUUCUACUGGUGGAGAUUCAAGUGUGCUUUGGAACUUAAUGCCAUCCCUUAUAAAAAUCUCCACUCGACAGAGCUUCAGAAAUCGAAGAGGCGCCUGCUCAGAAAUUGAAGAGGCGUUUGCUUUCUCAAAAGCUGGGCUGCUUAAAGACCACGAGGGUCGAUCUCAGAAAUCGAAGAGGCGUUUGCUUUCUCAAAAGCUGGGUUGCUCAAAGACCACGAAGGCCGAUCUCAGAAAUCGAAUAGGCGCUUGCUUUCUCAAAAGCUGGGCUGCUCAGAGACCACGAGGGCCGAUCUCAGAAAUCGAAGAGGCACCUACUUUUCCAGCCUUGUCAGCACCUGUCACCGCACACUCAGCUUUGCGGAAAUUAUAGGCAUUCUGUUGAAGACUUCUGGUGAAGUAGAAAGCACAUGAGUCUUACUGUUCAAUCACCCACUUCCCACACGCAAUAGUAGCUCAUAGGUACCACAGAUAACUUUGCCAAAGUUCUCUGCCAAAGUUGAGCACGUGAAGCUUGCAGCUCCCACUACAUCGCUCUGACCAAGAAGGGUAAAAGAAUAGCAAAGAAACAGCACUAACAAAGUUUAGACACAUAAAUUUUGUAGGUCUAGCUACCAUAUUAUUACCCACAAGGGUAAAGGAACAGUACCACUGCUGGAUAAUUGGAAAGUUCCUGUGUGUCAACCUCUGUGCUUCGUGGCAAGGUAGACUAGCAAACAUGCCCAACCUUUACUCACAUUCGAGAAAACACUCCCAACAAGUUUGCUUGCUCCAAAAUCGAAGAGGCACCGCCCUCCGAAUCUCGAGAGCCAGACUCCCAACAUGAUUACUUUCUCAAAAAUCGAAGAGACACCGCUCUCCGAAUCUCGAGAGCCAGACCCCCAGCAUGAUUGCUUUCUCAAAAAUCGAAGAGGCAUCGUUCUCCGAAUCUCGAGAGCCAGAUCCCCGAUAGGAUUGCUUGUUCAAAAACCAAAGAGGCAACACUUUCCCAACUUCAAGAGCCGGAUCUCCUUGGAUAAAGCUGUCUGUAAUCUUCACACGCAACAUCACCUUUCCAGAUACCACAGACCACUUUUUCAAAGUGCUCUGACAGAGUUAAAACAUGUGAAGCUGGCAACUCCCACUACCGUGCUAUGACCAAGUAGGGUAAAGGAAUAACAUUACUACUUGUUGUUAAGGAGACUCCUAUAUAUGUCGACCUCCAUCCCCAACGGACAGGCAGACCUGCAAAAAUGCUCAACCCUUCCUCAUAUCUGAGAGGGCACUCCCAACGAAGCCUUUCGAAAUAUUCAGCUUUCUUUCCCCCCGAUAAUAUCUCUGCAAACAAGCUAUACUAGAGCAAGAAUAUCUCAUAUCAUCAGGGUGAAAAGCAAGAGUAUCCCAUAUCAUGCUUUUUCCCUGUCUUUUCCUUUGGCCUUGUUCUUAUCUGCAAGACAAGGAGAAAGAGAGCAAUCAGUCAGCACUUGGAAUCAAGCUUCCAGCCAGGAACUGACUGCCUGGAACCCCUUACCUGAUUACUUACCUACCAUUGCUCUCGAGUACUUAUCUUCAAUAUCUUAUGCUUCCAAGGAAGAUACCGCAUCUGCCUGAGGAACAGAUAGGGCAAGGGAGAAGGAUACAAGGAAGCAUGUGGAGACAAGCGAAACAGCACACGUGCCGAUACAUCCAUUACUCUGUUAAAGCAAAAGUAUCCCAUAUCAGCAGGGUCGAACGUACUCUAGAUUUGAUGGACUUGUUUUGACCCUCAAAUUCUUCAGUCGGUCUUAUACUCUGGAGGAAACCAGAAAACCCUCCAGCUCAGUUCAAGAAUAAGCCUGUGGAAAGUUACUUCUUCAAAAGCAAAAGUAUCCCAUAUCAUCUCUUCUCAUUUUCUUCUCUUUAUCCUUCAUGCUGCCUGCAAGAUAAGGAGAAUGUGAACAAUCAGCCGGAGCUCUGAUUGCUUACCUUGUCUGUCACCUCUUUCAGCAGAUCCUCUAGCUCGGCGACUUGGGGGACUCCUACUACAUGGUUUGUAUCGCGCUUGACCAAGCCUGAAACUACAAGUAAGCUUCAAGUGAAAUUGAUACAUUACCUUGUGCAUCUCCACCAGUUAAAGAUACCACCCCUGGAUGGAGGAAGAGUACUUCCAGAGAAGAUGCCACAUCUACCUAUGAGACAGAUAAGGCAAGUCAAGACGAUACCGCACUCCGAUACUUAGAAGUUUCGUGAUUACGAGAUCAUUCUCCCACAAUAUUUCCUAAUGUCAUUUGUACUAAAUCAUUCACUUGUACUCACUAAAGGAGAGCUUGAACCUAUAUACUUGUGUAAACCCUUCACAAUUAAUGAGAACUCCUCUAUUUCGUGGACAUAGCCAAUCUGGGUGAACAACAUACAUCUUGUGUUUGCUUUCCUGUCUCUAUCCAUUUAUAUACUUAUCCACACUAAUGACUGGAGCAAUCUAGCGAAGAUCACAAAAAGCGACCGUUUUCGCUACCUAAAGUAGGAGUAGACUACGGGACAGAGGUUUAGGGCCGAAGGGGUAGAGGAAGACCUAGGAAAACUUUGGAAGAGACUCUAAGAAAAGACUUAGAGUACUUGGAUCUAACGGAGGACAUGACACAAAACCGAGCGCAGUGGCGUUCUAGGAUUCAUAUAGCCGACCCCACUUAGUGGGAAAAGGCUUUGUUGUUGUUGUUGUUGUUGUUGUGUUGUUCUUGUCUUUGUGAUAGUCCUAACAAGAUAUUUACCCCCUAUCCGAGCUUUGACUAUAUGAAAUGCCAUUUUUCCAUUUAACUUUUGAAUUUUGUGUUUAACGUUGAAAUGAAUUUUACAUUUAUGCCCUCUCUUUUUCUCGGCAUAGAAGAAUAAUUACGACACUAAUGAAGUCCCUGCUCUCUUCCAAGUAGCCAAAUCCAGUUUUCUUAGGUAUGAAUUCUCAUUUCAUUUUCAUCAUUACAUGGCCUAAAGAUCUGGCAGUUUUGUAUUUUGGUUAUGAGAGGGGUUUGCUUUUCUUGUUAUUGUUAAUGAAAAAACUGUUGUAACUUGCUUGAAUUACAUGGCCUAAAAGUUGUGGAUUUUGUCGGAUUUCUUUUGUCAAAUUGUUGCUUUCCCCAUGUUUUAGUUGAUUGGAUUUCUAGCUUUCCUUCCCUUUGGAUAAAAAGGAGAAAAAGGGAGGCCAAAAACUGACAUCCUUUGAUUGUCUCUAGUGGUGGAGUUGGUAGGAUUUGUUGAAGUUGUAUAAGGUGUGAAGUGUUUAGUAUUCUUGCUUGAGAUGGUAGUCAUCAACUCCCUGACCCAAUAUUUGGCCCAAAGCAAGAACUAUUACUAUGUGUUGGAUACGUGAAUACAGUGUGACCUUGUAUUUACUCCAAUGUUAUCCCUGGUUGUUGUGCUUUGACAUUUGCUUUGAUUUUUCCCUUUUGAUUGAGAGCUUCCUUGGCUAUAUGCCCCAGUUUAUCGGUCGCUUAAGACAAUGUUUCUUGAGCAACUUUACCACUUUAGAAUGGAAAUGUUUCUUUGAUACGGGGAAUUUGGCAAAUUUGUCCAUUUCAUUAUCAGACCCUCACCCUGUUCCAUUCAAAAUAAACAUUUGGAACAUGAGAAAUCUUUGGCCAAUCUUCUCCUGUAUCGUGCUGGCAUCUCCUCUCCAGAUCAGGACACUUUGGUUGUAAGUUUUGUUAAGGCAGUGAGGCGAUUCAUCUCCUCUGGCAAAGACAACAGUUUGGGACAUGAUCUGAGGCCAAGCAUUUUAAGCGAUGUGAAACUCAUCAACCACCUAGGUAAUGCCUCCAAAUUCUCACAAUCUAAUAUAGACUUGACUUGUAGUGUGUGUUGUGGCUCCUUGAAACCAUUCUGUUGUUUGCCCUAAUUUAAUUUUUACACGAAGGGAAAGCAGAUGGAGGAGAUAGAUCAAAGACAGGUUUAUGCUCGAAAAUGUGUCUCGCCCCUCUCACAAGACACCACUUAACAGAAAGACAGAUGGAGAGGUUACUUUCAUAAUCUUUUUAAUGAAGGACAUGAAAUGAGUACUUCUUUAGGGGAGUUCAGUAACUCAGAAGAAUAUAGAAACUACUCAUUUUAUCGUCGAAUCAGGAAGGAAGAAGUGGUUGUAGCUUUGAAGAAGAUGAAGCAUAGAAAAGCAGUGGGCCCAGACGAUAUAUCGAUCGAAGUGUGGAAAGUCUUGAGAGAGACAGGUAUAACAUGGCUCACUGACCUUUUCAAUAGGAUUUUGAAAACGAAGAAGAUGCCAAAUGAGUGGCGAAAGAGCACUUUGGUGCCUAUCUACAAGAAUA
rnacentral:lncRNA from 1 species